rnacentral:rRNA from 1 species
AGAGCGAACGCUGGCGGCAGGCUUAACACAUGCAAGUCGAGCGCCCCGCAAGGGGAGCGGCAGACGGGAGAGUAACACGUGGGAACGUACCUUUCGGUUCGGAACAACCCAGGGAAACUUGGGCUAAUACCGGAUACGUCCGUAAGGAGAAAGAUUUAUCGCCGAAAGAUCGGCCCGCGUCUGAUUAGCUAGUUGGUGAGGUAACGGCUCACAAAGGCGACGAUCAGUAGCUGGUCUGAGAGGAUGAUCAGCCUCACUGGGACUGAGACACGGCCCAGACUCCUACGGGAGGCAGUAGUGGGGAAUAUUGCGCAAUGGGCGAAAGCCUGACGCAGCGACGCCGCGUGGGGGAUGAAGGCCUUCGGGUUGUAAACCCCUUUCAGCAGGGACGAAGCGAAAGUGACGGUACCUGCAGAAGAAGCGCCGGCUAACUACGCGCCAGCAGCCGC